GACAUUUGUGUACAAGUCUUCAUGCACACACAUAGACGUGUGCUUUCAUUGCUCUUGGGUUAUAUUUAGGAGCGGUAUAGCUGGGUCAUACGGAAGGUGAACGUUCAACAUUUAAAAUAAGUUUUAAUUUGGAAUAAUUUUAGAUUUACUGACGUUUCAAAGAUAGCACAGACAGUUUAGUUUCCGUUAUUAUUAGCAUCUUACAUCCCUAUCAUGCAUUUGUCAAAGUGAAGAAACUGACACUGAUACGUGACUAUUAAUUAAGCUCCAGACUUUUUCACAUUUCAGCCCUUUUCCCAGUUACACUAUCUUUCUGUUUCAGGAUCCAGUUCAGGGCACCGCAUUGCAUCUAGUUGUCAAGUCUCCCCAGUCUCUUCUGGUCUGUUACAGUUUCUAAGCGGUUCCCUUCUCUUCAUGACCUUGGCAGUCUGGAAAAAUACUGGCCAGUUAUCCUGUGGAAUGGGAUAGCAAGUCCUUCCAUCUGGAUUUCUGACGUUUCCUCCUCAUGAUAGAACUGGGUGUAUGAGCUUUGGGAACAACCACCGCAGAAGUGAGGUGCCCUUCUCAUCAUAUCCGGGGUUUGGCCACUGGAGUCUCUUUUAGGCUACUCCUGUGUCUUUUGUUCCUGCUGCCAUGUCCACAUGCUCAAUUUCUCGUACUACAAGAUGCCGAAAAUACAUCUACAGUCUCCGUGCCCAACACCCAGAAUCUGUUAUUUCUUCAAGGAGAAUGGUGUUUGGAAACUAAGAUCUGGGACCUAGCAUGCUCAUUAUUGCCGGGGUGUCACUGCUUCUGGGCCUCUUGGGGGACUGAGGUAUGUGAGAGAGAACCCUGGCUCCCACUAUCCGCCAACCAACGACUAAUGCACUCAACCCCAGUGCGCGUGUACGCGGUUCCCCGCCUUGGGAAAUAAAGGUAUCACCCAGAGUACAGUGUUGACGGGCGGCUGCUGUUGUGUUUAGCCUUGUGGUUUCCAGUUAAAACGUGGUUUCCCAAAGUUACUUAGAUCAGCUCCUUUCCCCCCAUCUGGGGAGUCUGUUUUUUAAUGGAUGGAAGUCAUGAAGACCAUCAGCUGGUUACAAGGAGGAGACUGUGGAGUUAUUUCCUUUCAAAGACCAUAGACAGACUUAAAUUAACCGUGGAAAUUCCUGACCAGGAUUCAAGAAAGAAAAAAUAGAAAAAAGAAAACUUAGCCCUUCUCUCUUUUCUCUCCCUGUGAAAGUAACAGCCCCUCCUAAGUGAUACAGUGGGUCCAGUGCUUGCUAAGACAGGACUGAGGCCUUCUUACGUUUUCACCGUGCUUAUGCUUAAAGCAGAACGAACAGGCAUCUCCAAAUAACAAGUUUAUAUUGGGAAAUUCUGUAGAAACAAGGGGCUUAAGACUGGCUUUGGGGCCAUCCCCAUCACACCACUGUCUCUGACACUUUGAGUUCAAACCCUGCCACCAGCUUAAGCAUUCCUUAUUUGACACUCUCAGUGUGUUUCCAGACCCUUCUCCCACCCCUGCCUAGCCGCGCCCCUAAAGCAAAAGGAAAGGUUUGAACUGAGCGGUCACGGCUGCUCUAUUGCCCCUCAAAGGGAGGAGGACCUGGAUUGUUGCAGGCUCUGCGGGGAGCGGGUGGUAUCGGGGCGCCUGCGGGGCGCAUGCACUUGGCCAGAGGGCGCGCAGACGCGGUGGGGCCGCGAAUAAGCCCAGAGAGGCGGUGUGCAGCCAGGCUG